rnacentral:lncRNA from 1 species
CCCCUGGCCCCCCAGCUGCUGCCCCGGCCCCGGCUGCUGCUGCCCCUGCGGCUGCGGCUGCUGCAUCCUCCGCUCCGCUCCGCUCCGGGGCCGGCGGGCCGGGAGCCUCCGGCCUGCGCUCCGGGCUCCGCCGCCGCCGCCGCCGCCGCCGCCGCCGCCGCGGUCCGCACUUCCUGAUCCCCCCUUCGCCAAGAUGGCGCCG